UAUAAUUAACACGUGCUUUCCAUGCGUCUUAUGUCAAUUUUCAUAUACGUUUAUCAAUCUUUGAAAAAUCUGCCUAAAUUUUCGACAGACUUUUUUUUAUGGUAACUUAGUUAAACAGGAAUAAUUAAAAAGUAAAAAAUAAUUAAUAUUAUAUAGAAUAGCUGACUCGCUGCAAGUUAUUUGCUUACUUUUGUUUUUUACAAUGUGCGACGAAGCAUUGUUUUAUAUUUCUUUUGAUUUCUUCAAAGGCCAAAGUAUUCUCCUUUGUAUUCUCGUGUAUGUCUCACAUCUUCAGCCCUUGUUUCAGACGACGAGUUCUGAAGCCACCUUUUCGACUACUGUCUAUUUCUACCAAUUUAAAUUAACUUUACUCUCGGUUCAACUUAUAUUUAUCUUCUUUUUAGUCGCGAGAAUUAAUAAAGUUUGAUAGUUAGUCCAGUUUUAAAGUUACGCUGCAUUGAUGGAAAUGUACAUAAAAUUUGUAAACUGUACUCUUCUUCCUCCCAAGAAUAUUAACUUCGAACUGUAUAGAGAAUGUAGGUCCAUUGUCGACAGCAAACUCGCAAAUUUCGAUCGCCAAUCUCGAAAGCGUCAUGCGUAGAACUUGUAUCACUAGCGCGUAUAUAUUUCAAAAAGGUCGUAUCGAUUUUUUCCUCAGUAUCCCGAACAGCAAAUUUGCAUACAAUUUCACCCCGAGGUGAGCGCAAGUUUUCUAUGUACACAUCGAGUAUGUCGAGCGAAUCCCGUUACGAAUGAAUCUUUUAUGCUGCGUCGCGGUUAACGGAUAGGAAGUUUGAGCUCCCGUAGUUGCGGGACACGUAACAAGGUGUUACGUUUGUAAGGCGUCAUCGUUUCGCGCCACAAGAUAAAUUUCCUCUCGCGCCUCUUCGUAUCCGCAGAUACCAAUUUUCGCUUUUAUCAACGUGAUUUUUUUCCGCGAGAUAUUUUUCUCACUUAAAUUACAAUAAAUUCACACGCAGCUGAAUAACAGUGCGACUUCUUUGCGGUCGUUCGCGCCCGAAGAAGAUCUCGACUCCGAUUUGCGAAUGUAGAAAACAGGGGGAAUAAUACUCGAGGCUUUUCUUCAAAGUUCGAAAAUACCUUCAAAAUUUUAAGCAACGAAAUACGAGAAGCGCGAGAAUCUAUCUAGCUCGCUCACCCCUCUUUAUUCUUCCGCGGCGCGGCGGCGCGAUCGGUCUUCUCUUACCGCUGUUCUUUCCUUUCGUGCUCGCGAUUCUCGGUACUGUUGAACAUACUAUGUACAAUAUAUCACAUUUCGCAUGCCGAGCUCCCAUAUCAACGGUACUCAAUCGGGUUUCCUCUUCAGACAGCUAGUUGCGCUUCACGCGAGAGCCUCACCAUUACCGUCGUCGCUAAACCGCAAUCGAUCGCAAAGUACACCGCCGCAGGUGGUAAACAUAAAAAAAUUAUCAUGUAGUGCAGUGUAGCAUUCCAGUAUUUACGAUUAUUGUAAUUGCAAAUUAUGAGAGACUCAUAGACGAUUUGCGAUAAUUUCUUGGAUUUGCGGCGCCCGUUGAUAGUUUUACUUUGCAACUUCUUACAGCGCGGGAAUACAUUGCGUAAAUCGUUAAAUUUACUGACGCUCGGUGAUACUGAUCAAAGGUAAAAUAUACGAAAAGCGCAUAGUUGGUGCAACAAAAGAAUAAAAGUAUUUAAAGGGUACAGUAUUAAAAGAUGUUGAGAUUUCUCUGAAAAAUAAAGAAGAGGAAAGAGAGGAAAAAGGAGAAAAUUUAUUCAAAGAUAUCGUAAAAAGUGUAAUUAUCGAAAAUACUUCUCAAACACCCAUUCAAUUGUUUGAGAUGAAACUUAGACAACAUUAAAAAGCAUUACAUUUUAUUUAAUGAGGAAAAUUAUGAUUCAUUUGGAGAUACAUUCAACAUUUUUUCAAUAACUUUUGUUUGAGUUUUCGUCGAAUUUCAGCAAAAUAUUUCCAUCGGGGUAUUUAGUAAAUUAAAGAAAUCCAAAGUGAAAACUUGACAGUGAUAUUGCCAGGAGAACCAAGACAGUAAAAUGUAGGUUACAUGUAUAUCUUCUACUUUGUCUAUAUACAUAUGUAUAUAGUAUUAAAUACAAAUUUAAUAUAUGAAAUUGAAUGUAUUAUUUGCAUAAUAUAACGUUUAUUCUCGCGUUCUUAUUUAAAAGAGUUGUAGCAACAACUGUAAUAAAAAAAGCACACGGAGAGCAUUUUCUCUCAAUAUAUUUAUCCUGAAAAUUAUGUGGUCGUGGGAUAACAUGGGUUUUUGAAGAGCUUUAUGAGAGUUUUUCGAAAUUUUACCAGUAAAAUGUAACUAAGUA